GCGUGCAAUCAUACCAGUGUUAAUGCACCAGAUCCCAUCAGAACUCUGCAGUUAAGUGCGCAUGGAAUAGAGUAGUACUAGGAUGGGUGACCUCCCAGGAAGUCCUAGUGUUGCACCCU
rnacentral:rRNA from 1 species